CCUCUGUUCGAUCGUCAUGUGAA
rnacentral:miRNA from 1 species